UUACUAUGAUGGUUGCAUAGUUCAACAGACUGAAUCGUGAAAGAGAUAGAUAUACCAUUUAUCUGAUGUAGAA
rnacentral:snoRNA from 1 species